GAUGAACGCUGGCGGCGUGCCUAAUACAUGCAAGUCGAGCGAACAGACGAGGAGCUUGCUCCUCUGACGUUAGCGGCGGACGGGUGAGUAACACGUGGAUAACCUACCUAUAAGACUGGGAUAACUUCGGGAAACCGGAGCUAAUACCGGAUAAUAUAUUGAACCGCAUGGUUCAAUAGUGAAAGACGGUUUUGCUGUCUCUUAUAGAUGGAUCCGCGCCGCAUUAGCUAGUUGGUAGGGUAACGGCUUACCAAGGCGACGAUGCGUAGCCGACCUGAGAGGGUGAUCGGCCACACUGGAGCUGAGACACGGUCCAUGCUCCUACGGGAGGCAGCAGUAGGGAAUCUUCCGCAAUGGGCGAAAGCCUGACGGAGCAACGCCGCGUGAGUGAUGAAGGUCUUCGGAUCGUAAAACUCUGUUAUUAGGGAAGAACAAAUGUGUAAGUAACUAUGCACGUCUUGACGGUACCUAAUCAGAAAGCCACGGCUAACUACGUG
rnacentral:rRNA from 1 species